rnacentral:rRNA from 1 species
ACGAGAAGCUUGCUUCUCUGAUGUUAGCGGCGGACGGGUGAGUAACACCGUGGAUAACCUACCUAUAAGACUGGGAUAACUUCGGGAAACCGGAGCUAAUACCGGAUAAUAUUUUGAACCGCAUGGUUCAAAAGUGAAAGACGGUCUUGCUGUCACUUAUAGAUGGAUCCGCGCUGCAUUAGCUAGUUGGUAAGGUAACGGCUUACCAAGGCAACGAUGCAUAGCCGGCUUGAGAGAGUGUACGGCCACAUUGGGACUGAGACACGGCCCAAACUCCUACGGGAGGCAGCAGUGGGGAAUUUUGCACAAUGGGGGAAACCCUGAUGCAGCGACGCCGCGUGAUUUAGAAGGCCUUCGGGUUGUAAAAAUCUUUUUUACGGGAUGAAAAUGACAGUACCGUAAGAAUAAGGUCCGGCUAAAUACGUGCCAGCAGCCGCGGUAAUACGUAUGGACCGAGCGUUGUCCGGAAUCAUUGGGCGUAAAGGGUACGUAGGCGGCCUAGUAAGUUAGAAGUUAAAGAAUAUAGCUCAACUAUAUAAAGCUUUUAAAACUGCUAGGCUUGAGAGAUGGAAGGGAAAGUGGAAUUCCUAGUGUAGCGGUGAAAUGCGCAGAUAUUAGGAAGAAUACCGGUGGCGAAGGCGACUUUCUGGUCAUCAUCUGACGCUGAGGUACGAAAGCGUGGGUAGCAAACAGGAUUAGAUACCCUGGUAGUCCACCGCUGUAAACGAUGAGUGUUAGGUUCUUGGAAUAAUCUGGGAGCCGCAGCUAACGCAUUAAACUACUCCGCCUGGGGAGUACGCAGGCAAGU